rnacentral:rRNA from 1 species
CAGUAGCCACGGUAAUACGAAGGGUGCAAGCGUUACUCGGAAUUACUGGGCGUAAAGCGUGCGUAGGUGGUGGUUUAAGUCCGUUGUGAAAGCCCUGGGCUCAACCUGGGAAUUGCAGUGGAUACUGGGUCACUAGAGUGUGGUAGAGGAUAGUGGAAUUUCCGGUGUAGCAGUGAAAUGCGUAGAGAUCGGAAGGAACAUCUGUGGCGAAGGCGACUAUCUGGGCCAACACUGACACCGAGGCACGAAAGCGUGGGGAGCAAACAGGAUUAGAUACCCCCGUAGUCCCUGUCUCUUAUAC